GCACUGUUGAAGAGUCCCACAAUAGGACGAAACGCCAUUCCAGUGC
rnacentral:hammerhead_ribozyme from 1 species